rnacentral:rRNA from 1 species
GACGAACGCUGGCGGCGUGCUUAACACAUGCAAGUCGAACGGAAAGGCCCCCUUGUGGGGUACUCGAGUGGCGAACGGGUGAGUAACACGUGAGUAACCUACCCUUGACUUUGGGAUAACUUCAGGAAACUGGGGCUAAUACCGGAUAGGAGCUCCUGCUGCAUGGUGGGGGUUGGAAAGUUUCGGCGGUUGGGGAUGGACUCGCGGCUUAUCAGCUUGUUGGUGGGGUAGUGGCUCACCAAGGCUUUGACGGGUAGCCGGCCUGAGAGGGUGACCGGCCACAUUGGGACUGAGAUACGGCCCAGACUCCUACGGGAGGCAGCAGUGGGGAAUAUUGCACAAUGGGCGGAAGCCCGAUGCAGCAACGCCGCGUGCGGGAUGACGGCCUUCGGGUUGUAAACCGCUUUCGCCUGUGACGAAGCGUGAGUGACGGUAAUGGGUAAAGAAGCACCGGCUAACUACGUG